CGGCGCACGGGUGAGUAACGCGUACGCAACUUACCCUUGAGAGCGGCAUAGCCCUGGGAAACCGGGAUUAAUACCGCAUAGUUUGUAAUUAUGGCAUCGUAAUUACAAUAAAGCUUCGGCGCUCAAGGAUAGGCGUGCGUUCCAUUAGCUAGUUGGUGAGGUAACGGCUCACCAAGGCGACGAUGGGUAGGGGGCGUGAGAGCGUGGCCCCCCACACGGGUACUGAGACACGGACCCGACUCCUACGGGAGGCAGCAGUAAGGAAUAUUGGACAAUGGACGGAAGUCUGAUCCAGCCAUCCCGCGUGCAGGAUGAAGGCGCUACGCGUUGUAAACUGCUUUUGUACAGGAAGAAACUUUGGGAUUUAUCCUGAUUUGACGGUACUGUAAGAAUAAGCACCGGCUAACUCCGUGCCAGCAGCCGCGGUAAU
rnacentral:rRNA from 1 species